UCGGUGUAAAACCCAGUGUAAACACACGCCUUCUCCCCCACCUCAACAGACUCAAGUUGCAUGUUCCACGUGGCGCCCCGGAUCCCCUCCACGCCCCAGCUCAGCCCACCACUCCCCGCCCUUUCCAGAAACAUGAGGCCCAUCCCCGCCUCCAGCUGGCCCCUCACAUGGGCUGUUUCCCAGCCAGGAUGUCCUCUCCACCAAGCCAGCCCGCACUGCUGAGAAGCUCUCAGGGAUCAGCCCCUCCCUCCUUUGUGCUCUCACAAAACGAGUUCAUUCCCCGUGAGUUAAGAUUUCCUGCACGUCUGCGGCGUGCCGGGCGCUGGGGGAGGAAGGUGCUUUGUGCUCGGCAUCAAGGUGGAUUUCAUCUGCAGAACACACACCCGGAAGAGGAAGCGAGGGGCUGAGGCUGAGCAGGAGGUGGAAGGAAGGCUGGCUGCUGGGAGGGCACACGAUGGGCCCGAGGGCUGGUGAGGAACCUGUGAAUGCUGCCCGCCCCCAGCCGUGGCCACCGCGCCCAGCGAAGCUGCCCCCUCGGCUGCUCCCGCAGGGAGGAGAGUGCUCAGGGCACCCCAGGGCCCCAGGGCAGGGGGCGGCCUCGGAUGGGGCCCUUGGGGAGCAGGAGGGUGGGGGCGUCUGCGAGUGGAGUGAGCCCAGAGGGCAGGGGGAGGCCCUGGGCAGCAGGCAGCCGGCCUGCUGGGACCCCCGGCUCUGCCCGUCCCCCGCCCAUGCUGCAGAACCAGCUGGGGUGUCUGGGGAGGAAGAGGCCGCUGAGCCCACAGGCAGAAGGCCCCCAGCCGAGGGUCCUGGCCAUCCUGCCCAGUGACCUAGCGGGGCCCAGCUACCCUAUCCGUAAGAAGGGGUUCUCCUGGGGUUCUCAAGGCAAGAAUACCAGAGUGCUUUGCCAUUCCCUGCUCCAGUGGACCGCGUUUUGUCAGGCCCCGACUAGCAAGGACGUGUCCUCCAGCCGCUCCACGUGGCAUGCCUGGCGCCCUGGGUGUCCCGGUGCUGGUCCUCAUUGAGUCAGGAAAACUUCACCAGCAGCCCCAGAGAUCGGGGCACAGGUGCUGCUGGAGUCGCUGUGUCUCUGGGUGGCCGUCAGCCUGGCCUGCACGGGCCUGUGCCAGCCAGGGUUGCUCUCUGAGGCCGUGAUGGUGUCGAUUCUGGACACACGCAUGGAGCACCUAUCCCAGACACGUCGCCAUCCCACUGUGUGUGGCUAUCCUGUGAUAGGGCGUCAUCGUGGAAGCUGUGGCCUUGCUCCUUGCCUGACGCCGCCCACCAGGCCCUCCAGGAGGGAUGGGGCAGGCGGGGCAGGAGGGGCAGGUGUGGGUGACUUUGGUUCUGAGGCUCCAGGAGCCAGGGAGGGCCCAUGAGAGACAGGCACGGCCCCACCCUCCGCAGGGACCCGGCGGUGGGGGAUGCUCCCGGCACAUGGAUGAGUGCCCCUCCUGUCCGAGCUCUUGGUGGCUGGAAAGGUGGGGGGCCCUCCUCCCGUGAGCCCAGGCUGGAGUUACAUGUCCCUGGGGAGUGGGCAGCCUCCAGGGCUCCCCAGGAGAGGCACUUGUCCUGGGGACGUGGGAGGAGACUGGCUCACCGUGAGUCCCCAGGCCCCACCCUGGCAGAGAAACAGGCCUCCCCAUGUGUGUGGGAAAAAGCUCUGUCCAGCCCAGCUUUGAAUAUGGGGACCCAGGUCCCCCUCCUGCCCCGCGCCACAUGGAAGCCAGUGGCCUCCGUCUACCAGGCAAGGCAGAGACCUCCCAGCCGUGGGGCAGCCCUCCCUCCACCAGUGACUUGAGCUGGUCCCUGGAGGCGUGUGGGGGGGGACCCAGGUUACAGGGAGGGGAGGAGACUCGGCCAAACUCUGAAUAGCCCCUUCCAGCAGACCCCUGGGACCCCCGGAGAGCUACAGCCUUCUGCAGCCUCGGAGGCCGAGGCUUGGAGAGCUGCCGGGCGGGCGGGCGGGCGGGCGGGCGGGGGUAGGGUCUCUGCUCUUGGAGAGGGGAGAGUGUCACCAGGCUGGGAGCAGCUGGCGGGUCCGGACCGGGAAGUGCGGUCAGCCCGCCCACGGCCCCAGGCAGGGGUGGGGGCCUGGGGUGGCGGCGGUGAACUCUGGUUCUGCCCGCCCGCCCUGCUGGGCUGCUUUCAAAGUCCAGGGCCUUGUGAGCCAGGCGCAGUCCGUUUCCCGUUGGAUCCCAGCCCAUGAGGUGGGGGUGGGGUGGCAGAGAGCCCCCCUGCUCCUGGAGAGGGAGGGAAGUGUGGGAGGCUGCCAGGAGCAGCCUGCGUGCACCUCAGCCUCCAGAUCCCCCUCUCCCAGCUGCUCCCUGAGGCCCCCAGCGGGGAGAGGAACAUACCAGCUGACCGAGGACCAUCCCGCUGAGCAGCGGGACUUGGCGAAGUCCUUCCCCAUUUUGGAAAGUCCACCGAAUCCAGACCGUCCUAGCCGUGGCCCUGCACGCACACCCCGACCUGUCCUGCUCGUCCUGUCCUGCCCGCCCCUCGGCACUGGGACUGGCUUUGGGUAACGGAGCAUCAUGAUGGCGGACACAAGCAGACCAGGCCUCAGGACUCUGGCUUGCACCCUCUGGCCUCCCUGAGACUCCAGGUGAGGGUGCCCGAGGUCGCCAGCCGGAGCCGUGGGAACCGCUGAGUCAGCACCACCGCCCCGCCGGAGGGAGGCCGGCUGAGCAUGCAGCCCAGGAGCACCUGGGGCGCUGGGGGACGCAGCCUCCCAGCCGGGCCCAAGCUGCCGCCCCGGCACUGAGAACAAAUGCAGGGCUGGUUGUCUGAGCAGCAGGUGACCCACGUGUGUGCGUGCUCAGCUGCUCAGGCGUGUCCGACUCUGCGACCCCGUGGGCUGUAGCCCGCCAGGCUCCUCUGUCCACGGGAUUCUCUAGGCAAGAGUACUGGAGUGGGCUGCCAUUUCCUCCUCCAGGGGAGCUUCCCGACCCAGGGAUCUAACCCACCUCUCUUGCAUUGGCAGGCAGAUGCUUUACCACUGAGCCACCUGGGAAGCCCCGCUAAGGUAACCAGUACCUCUGCCUUUUAGAGAUACAUCUCUCAGUGGGUUGCACUGGAGAGAAUUAAGCCAGAAAUAAGAAAGGACGGAGGGUUCCAUCUUGUCUCUGCACCACCUCUCUAUUUCCCUCUCUUUAAACAGAGAGGGUGGCCAUCUGCCUCCUGCAAGGAUUCAGAUUCAGUGAGACUCUGAAGGUGUUUGUACAAAUGCGUGUGCGCACGCACAGUCAGCCUCUCCUUCAAGCAAGGAGGCCUCCUGAACACAGCUCCUGCAUUCUUCCUGGGUCAAGGUUGUGGCCUGGAGCCUGAGCCUCGCAGCGGCAAGAAGGGGAAGCUGGGCUUGCUGAGCUCUGAGCCCCUGAAGGCAACAGGGCUUCCCCAAGGCCUCAGAGUGGGUGGGCAGAGCCUGGAACGAGCCCAGACCCGUGACUCUGCGGGGCGGGAGGGUGGGGAUGAGAGGCCCACCCUGGGGAGGGGCCUCUGCGCGUCCUUUUCACCCAGCGCCAGUCUCUUCAUGUCGCUCCGGGGCUACCUCCCCGCCAGGGGCGGCUUCCGGUCUGCCUUGGGCUUGGGCCGCAGAGACCAGCCUUGUGAGUACUGUGUAUGAAGUGAGAGCAAAUAGGCGCUGAGCGAGAGACCGUGGUGGGGCCGUGCCGGGCCUUGCACCGCAUCCCUGGCCCCUCUGAGGCCACCCCUGCUGAUUUCCUGGCUCCCAGAGGCCCCCUGGAUAAGCAAGGCGGCUGGCUGGGGGUGCUGGGCAAAUCUGAGGUGUGCACCUGUCGUUCUGGCUGGCGGGCUGGCUCCGUGGCAUCCUUCCCAGCCUCCAGAGCCACAGGGCACCUCCGCCGCAGCCAGCUUGACAGCAGCACUCCUGCGGCUCUGCUGUGGCCAGCGGACUGUGGGGACCAGGCGCUGGGCUGGCUGAGCGUCCGGGCGGGGGCUGGGGAAACCCGGCCUCGCACUCUCUCCUCUCCCCGCCUGCUCUCAUGGAAAAUAUGAACUGUGCUGGACGGGCUCCAAACGCAGGGGAUUCCAUUGUUCUGGCUUCCGCCCCGGCGUCUGGGGACCCAGCCCCUGCCUGGCCUUUCUCCCGGCGCCUCCAGGUCUUGGGACAAACCGUUCAAGAGCCUCAACCCUGCCACCUUCCUGGCCUGGGAUACAGACCCUGGGGAGCUUCUGGCCGGGAUGGCCUCCUCCUCAGCUCCAGAUGCUCCUUCUAAGCAGCUCAGCCCUCAGGGUGCUCUCUGCAGACUUUCUCCCCACCGGCUUCCCUCACAAGCUCUACUUCCUGGGGAGGGGAGGGGGGAGGGGAGGGGAGGGGAGG
ensembl:lncRNA